rnacentral:misc_RNA from 1 species
GGUUAGUUAGUGAAAGUGAAUUUUGGACGUGAUUAUUGUAUUAGUUAGGAUGAGUUAAGUUAUGUUGUUGUAAUAAAGAAUUUUCGAAUUUUGGUAGUUUAUAGUAAUAUAGGUUUAAUUUUGUUUUUAUUGUAUGGUUGUUUAUUAUAGGUUUUUUUUGAUUAGUAUUUUGGUUGAUAGAGUAAUUACGUUAGUUGUAUGUUGUAGUUU